CCGGGGAGAACUGGACCGUAUUCAGAUGGCACCAUGCCCUCCACCCACCACCCGGAAACUGGCCUUGCUGGCAACGGGUGGGUGGGGAGGAAGGCUGAACUGUUGGGGCUUGUUCCCGGCCUCGGGAGCGGGGCAGGCGGCAGGGGUGAGUUGCAGGGAUGGGCUGAGGUUAGAGAUUCCUCUUGAUGAAAAUCCCUUGCCCCACAAAUGGGCCUGUGUGGACAGAGAGGGCGAGUGAUAGGAAGAUGCGGUGAGGGCAGAGAGACGCCUUCCAGGGGAAGAAAUCAGAGAAUCCUGCCCAAGACCUGGAGCCCGCGAAGCCUCCCACCUCCUGGGGCACCAGGAGACACAGAAAAGUACAAAGAAGAAAACUAAAAAGGUGACCCAGAGAGAACCACUCUAAGAUGUGCACGGGAAUUCAGCUCAGCUCGCGUAUUUAAAUUGAGAUCCUACUGUUGUCUGUUUUUUCAUUUUUCACGAAAAUAAAACUUGACUCAAAGUUUCAUUUUAAAAUAC
rnacentral:lncRNA from 1 species